CCGGCACACAACUAACCAAAAAUAUCAUCACGACCUCUCACGAGCAUCACUAGUCUAUCUGAGGUUACGUAUUGCCACGCGGACAAAUAUUUUAAGUAAUAUUGUAUAGUAUUUUAAGUAAUAUUGGAUAAUUCCUCACGGUACACAAGUGUAUUGCGGUACAGUGGUUGAAAAUCCCUGAGUUACGCCAUACCUCUGAUCUAUGCUAACCGAUACCAGAAGAGGGCGGGGCAAAUGUAAAUGAGUGCCGCUGGGCGGCGCUGCGAGUUAUAGAACAGAACUCUUUCCACCGAGAUUUCACUUUCACUUCUGGUUGCUUCUCGUUGUUUUUAUUUUUUAGCUGGUCGCCCUCCGCUUGUUGAAUUUCAUACAAAAACAAAGCGACUUUCGUGAGAUACGUGUCUCGUGUGCAUACGGACUUCCCACAUGGAUCGAACACCAACCAGAAUUAACCGGAACAAGGGGUUCCACUCACCGUCCUCCGACUGGCCUCGAAUCCACUACGGAGGUUCCGUACAUCGCAGUCCUUCUCCCCGGAGGUUCCCGACAUUCUCACCGUGUUCUCCGGCAUAUUCCCCCGGUUCGAAUCUAGGACAUCGGUGCUCUCCCCCAAUGGGGCCCAUUGGUAGAGGAAGAUUCUUCGCAGUUUCUCCGGUCGGGGAGCAGCGACGCUGGGGGGACACUUUCAGGCGGCCUCGGGGCUUCAGUCCCACAAUGCAGUCAAACGACGCUGUGGAGAAAUAUUUGAGUGCAUCAAUGUUGGAUGACCCCUGGGAGGCGCUGCAGGCACGACUCACUACAAUUCAACAUAACACGUGACACAACCGGAAAAAGCUCUUGUGUGUAGGUUUACCCCUUCCCCGAUUCCCUAAUAGACUCUUUGAAGAUUUGGAACCAGCAGUAUAGAUUGUUCAUUUCAGAUACAGUUAAACAUAUACACAUUAAAUAAUUCAUGAAUUAUAUUCCUGCAACUCACCUCUAGCCAAAUUUCACCACAACCAACAUGAUGCAAAAUCGGAGAAGAGUUUGUAAACAACUUACUUUACACUUACAAUAAAAAAAUGCGUUGUAUAUUUUGUAAAAUGUUUGUGUGAAAAUAAACAUUGACUUUUGUAUAUGA